GAAGGUGGCUCAGUGGUAGAGUGCUUGCUUUGCCUGCAGGAGGCCUUGGGUUCGAUUCCUCAGCACUUCA
rfam:Dipodomys ordii contig_9707, whole genome shotgun sequence.